UACGUAGGGAGCUAGCGUUGUUCGGAAUUACUGGGCGUAAAGCGCACGUAGGCGGCUUUGUAAGUCAGAGGUGAAAGCCUGGAGCUCAACUCCAGAACUGCCUUUGAGACUGCAUCGCUUGAAUCCAGGAGAGGUGAGUGGAAUUCCGAGUGUAGAGGUGAAAUUCGUAGAUAUUCGGAAGAACACCAGUGGCGAAGGCGGCUCACUGGACUGGUAUUGACGCUGAGGUGCGAAAGCGUGGGGAGCAAACAGG
rnacentral:rRNA from 1 species